GCUGGUGCUGGUGCCGCUGGAAGGGCACGGCGCGCUCGGGGUGUUCCUGACGUUGGCCGACGGUCGCCGGUUCUUCUUCCGGGGCGACGGCG
rnacentral:tRNA from 1 species